UACGGAGGGUGCAAGCGUUAUCCGGAUUCACUGGGGUUAAAGGGUGCGUAGGUGGAUUGGUAAGUCAGUGGUGAAAUCUCCGGGCUUAACCCGGAAACUGCCAUUGAUACUAUCAGUCUUGAAUACCGUGGAGGUCAGUAGAAUAUGUCAUGUAGCGGUGAAAUGCAUAGAUAUGACCCGGAACACCUAUUGCGAAGGCAGCAGGCUAAACAAAUAUUGACGCUGAGGCUCGAAAGCGUGGGGAUCAAACAGG
rnacentral:rRNA from 1 species